rnacentral:rRNA from 1 species
UACGUAGGAGGCAAGCGUUGUCCGGAAUUACUGGGCGUAAAGAGUGUGUAGGCGGUGCUCUAAGUUCGGUGUGAAAUCUCCUGCUUAACUGGGAGGGUGCGCCGGAAACUGGAGUGCUCGAACGUGGGAGAGGAAAGCGGAAUUCCUGGUGUAGCGGUGAAAUGCGUAGAUAUCAGGAGGAACACCUGCGGUGUAGACGGCUUUCUGGACCAUUGUUGACGCUGAGACACGAAAGCGUGGGUAGCAAACAGG